UGAGCAGGGUGUCUUAUCGCUUCAGAGUCUAACUCUGAAGAGGAAAGUCCGAGCAGCAGAGAGCACCGUACUUCCUAACAGGAAGGCAUUCUAUCUUUGUAGAGUGACAGAAAGUGCCACAGAAAAUAUACCGCCUCUUUCGAGGGGUAAGGGUGAAAAGGUGAGGUAAGAGCUCACCGCUUCUUCGGUGACGCAGAAGGCAUGGUAAACCUUACGGGCUGAAAAACCAAAUAGGUUCCGUUACAUACCUACGGGUAGUGCAAAGUCGCUCGCUUUGUUUCUUUCUUCGGAAAGUGGGCGGAAUGGGUAGGUUGAUUGAUCUACAAGGCAACUUGUAGCCUAGAUAAAUGAUAAGAACUGAAUCUUUCAGGACAGAACUCGGCUUAUAGUCCUGCUCAAUUU
rnacentral:RNase_P_RNA from 1 species